UUUAGCACUCAUCUUAAGUAAAAGUAAUAAUAAAAACUAAAGAAAUAAUAAAAAAAAAUCAUGUAAGUUCUAUGAGGCACUGACCUACACACACAUGCGCCUAACGUGCAGUGCUUUCAAUUUGAUUGCGCAAUUUGCAACGAGAAGAACAAAACAAGACUGCAAGUUCUAUUAUCUUGACCACGACUGUAAAUAUGUUGGGUUAGUGGGCCAGGGGGUGGUGAACUGGACCGGCUUCGCUAAUUAGAAGCUCAGAGCAUUCCGUCAAUAGACAACAACAGUGCGGACCAUCCACCCCCUUUUUUGCCACCUGCCACCCCCCUCCACUCCCACUUUGCGAUUCUCCACGACGUUUUCCGUCGACAGCCAAGGUUAAAACUAUAAAUAGAUAUGGAGAAAAAUCAACAACAACAGCAGCAAGCAGCCACCAACAAAAACAGCGAGUUGCAAAAUCUAUUUUUAGCCGUCAGCCGCAAGACGCCGACUGUAAAAAGAGUAGAUAAAAAACUUGAGCCGAAAACAAAACA